rnacentral:rRNA from 1 species
UACGUAGGGGGCAAGCGUUGUCCGGAAUCAUUGGGCGUAAAGCGCGCGUAGGCGGCCCGGUAAGUCCGCUGUAAAAGUCCAGGGCUCAACCCUGGAAAGCCGGUGGAUACUGUCGGGCUAGAGUCCGGAAGAGGCGAGUGGAAUUCCUGGUGUAGCGGUGGAAUGCGCAGAUAUCGAGAGGAACACCUGCGGCGAAGGCGGGUUGCUGGGCUGACACUGACGCUGAUGCGCGAAAGCUAGGGGAGCGAACGGG